ACCUGGCGAUAUAAUUCAAAGUAUAUUUUGCGUAGAAAAUAGUUCGCCUUGCAAAGUAAUGUAGAUUUAUUUGUGACAAUUGGCAGUUUUAUCUCCCAUUCUCUCCGUUGAAUAAUGAGUGACUUUUUUUAGAAAGUCUAGAAUGAACAGGUAGCGGCCAGCCGUCACAAAUGACUUCACAUUCACCCAACAGAUUACCUUGGUACUUUGCUGCGUUUCAUUUUGAAGCAACUCCACAUGUCAAGCAAAUAUACUGGAAAGCUUUCGAGUUCCACUCAGUGACUGCAUGAGAAAAUGGGAACCAGUGGAGAAGGAACCAAAAUUCAGUGCAAG